AGCGGCGGACGGGUGAGUAAUGCAUAGGAAUCUGCCCGGUAGUGGGGGAUAACCUGGGGAAACCCAGGCUAAUACCGCAUACGUCCUACGGGAGAAAGCAGGGGAUCUUCGGACCUUGCGCUAUCGGAUGAGCCUAUGUCGGAUUAGCUUGUUGGUGAGGUAAUGGCUCACCAAGGCGACGAUCCGUAGCUGGUCUGAGAGGAUGAUCAGCCACAUCGGGACUGAGACACGGCCCGAACUCCUACGGGAGGCAGCAGUGGGGAAUAUUGGACAAUGGGCGAAAGCCUGAUCCAGCCAUGCCGCGUGUGUGAAGAAGGCUUUCGGGUUGUAAAGCACUUUCAGUGAGGAAGAAGGCCUUGGGGCUAAUACCCCCGAGGAAGGACAUCACUCACAGAAGAAGCACCGGCUAACUCCGUGCCAGCAGCCGCGGUAAUACGGAGGGUGCGAGCGUUAAUCGGAAUUACUGGGCGUAAAGCGCGCGUAGGCGGCGUGAUAAGCCGGUUGUGAAAGCCCCGGGCUCAACCUGGGAACGGCAUCCGGAACUGUCAGGCUAGAGUGCAGGAGAGGAAGGUAGAAUUCCCGGUGUAGCGGUGAAAUGCGUAGAGAUCGGGAGGAAUACCAGUGGCGAAGGCGGCC
rnacentral:rRNA from 1 species